rnacentral:lncRNA from 1 species
UAUUUAUUUAUUUAUUUUAGAUAAUGUUACCAAAAGUUUCAACAUCUUUUUAGAAAAAAGAGAGAGAGAGUAUAAGUUAGAGAGAAAACAUAAUUAAAAAAAUAGAAAGAAAAAUAUAGUCGAAAUUAGAGAGAGUGAGAGAGUUGAAAUUUUAGAAAAAUAGAGAAAGAAAGCUUAGUUUAGAGAGAGAGAAAAAAAAUUUGAAUUUUAGAGAGAAAAAUAAGUUUAGAGAGAAAUAUAAGGUUAGAGUGUAAAGAAAAAUAAUAUCAAUUAGCCGGCGGGUAGGAAGAAAGAAAGAGAUUAGACAUAUUAUGAUUAUCCCAAUCCAUUAAUAUGAGAAUACCCACCCUCCCUCAAGGAAAUGAGAUUAGUAUUUUGGGGUGAAUCUUAUUCCCAAGUGAAUCCAAUAUUACCAAUUAGAUUAUUUAGUGCGUUUAGCCAAACACCGUCAUAUUUUUUUAUUUCUAUUGAAUUAUUAGAAAUCUUUAAAAGAUAGCGCGAACCAAACGCACCCUUAAGAAUAAAUACAUGGAUGGGAAUCUUUCA